rnacentral:rRNA from 1 species
CAGCCGCCACGGGAAUACGUAGGGUGCAAGCGUUAAUCGGAAUUACUGGGCGUAAAGCGUGCGCAGGCGGUUUUGUAAGACAGAGGUGAAAUCCCCGGGCUCAACCUGGGAACUGCCUUUGCGACUGCAAGGCUGGAGUGCGGCAGAGGGGGAUGGAAUUCCGCGUGUAGCAGUGAAAUGCGUAGAUAUGCGGAGGAACACCGAUGGCGAAGGCAAUCCCCUGGGCCUGCACUGACGCUCAUGCACGAAAGCGUGGGGAGCAAACAGGAUUAGAUACCCGGGUAGUCCCUGUCUCUUAUAC